GAGAGAGCGAUCCCCGAGCAGAUGCUAAAUCUUGUAUAAUGAAAGAAUCUGCCGAUGUCAAUUAUGUACGAGCGUCUUUGCAGUGGUUAGAGGCGGUGGGCGGGUGAGGGAGCGGAGGGCUGGGUGCAUCCCAUAAACCCAAACACCCAUCAAAGGCUCAUACAUAUGGAGCGGCGGAGAUUACGGCAUAAAUUUGAAUGUUAUGAAUGUACAUGAGGGACAGACAGGAAGCCCACCUCAUAAGGCACUAGGAACUGAGCCCAGAACCUCCAACAACACACCAGUCAAGAACUCUACCACUGAGUUAUCCCUCCAACCUCUAGUGUGGGUAGAGGGAUCCUGGAAGACAGCCUGGAGGAAGAAGUCACCAUUUGCUACAGAGGGGACAAAUGGCUCAGAAUGGCAAUUCGGGGCCCCCAGCUUUCUGUUUUUAGGUACACGUUCACACUGCACACGGAGAGUGUGUGAGUGUGUACACACAAGUAUACCCUGGACCAGGGCUCAGACCCCUCCAUCGUUCCCAACCUGCAGCUGCUCCCAGAGCCGACUCUGUGAUUUGUAGUGCAGGCCACCCAGGGACUUUAAUCUUCACCGUGACAAAUGCAAUAAAAGGAACAAUU
ensembl:lincRNA